rnacentral:rRNA from 1 species
AUACGGUGAAGCCGCGAAUAGCUCAUUACAACAGCCAUCGUUUAUUAGAAUAUCGUUAUCUUACUUGGAUAACUGUGGCAAUUCUAGAGCUAAUACAUGCAAUAAAGCUCCGCCCGAAAGGAACGAGCGCAUUUAUUAGAAUAAAAACCAAUCGAGCUUCGGCUCGUAAUUUGGUGAAUCUGAAUAACUUUGCCAAUCGCACAGUCCUAGUACUGGCGAUGUAUCUUUCAAGUGUCUGCCUUAUCAACUUUCGAUGGUACGCUAUACGCCUACCAUGGUAGUAACGGGUAACGGAGAAUAAGGGUUCGACUCCGGAGAGGGAGCCUGAGAAACGGCUACCACAUCCAAGGAAGGCAGCAGGCGCGCAAAUUACCCACUUCCAGAACGGAGAGGUAGUGACGAAAAAUAACGAGACAGUCCUCUUCGAGGUCUGUCAUCGGAAUGGGUACAAUUUAAAUCCUUUAACGAGGAUCUAUUGGAGGGCAAGUCUGGUGCCAGCAGCCGCGGUAAUUCCAGCUCCAAUAGCGUAUAUUAAAGUUGUUGCGGUUAAAACGCUCGUAGUUGGAUCUGCGGCCUUGAAGGAUGGUCUCCCGAAAGGGUAGUCACUGUCUCUUCUAGCCUAAAUUCGAGUUGUCUUUAGGUGCUCUUUAUUGAGUGCUUAGAGCGACUAGAACGUUUACUUUGAAAAAAUUAGAGUGCUUAAAGCAGGCGAAAUAGCCUGAAUAAGGUGCAUGGAAUAAUGGAAUAGGACCUCGGUUCUAUUUUGUUGGUUUUCGGAGCCUGAGGUAAUGAUUAAGAGGAACAGACGGGGGCAUUCGUAUUUCGGCGCUAGAGGUGAAAUUCUUGGACCGCCGAAAGACGAACGACKGCGAAAGCAUUUGCCAAGA